UCUACUUCCCCCUCUUUCACCAUGACUGAUAACUCAUGUAUAAUUCAGACACUCAUUUGCCACCUUCCGGCCCACUCAGAGCUUUAUAAGAUCUUCUCAUCCCUAUUGACUUAGUUCAUAAGAUUUUGUUAUCUUUGGGAAAUGUAAAAAUGCUGAUUGUACUUCAAUUUUAUUUUUGGAAAAAUUAUUUACAUUUCUGUGUUGUUUGCCUAUGCACACAUGUAUGUGUAUGGACAUUCAAGUCAUGGCACACAUAGGGAGGUCAGAGGACAACUUGCAGGAGUUAGUUCUCUCUACCAUGUAGGUCCAGGCUUCAAAUUCAGAUCGGCAGGCAUGGUGUGUGGAAGACAGAGGUCAAGUUUGGGCAUAAUUCCGAUGAAAGUUCUCCACCUUGUUUUUUGAUAUGGCUUCUCUCACUGAGCCUAAAGCUCUUCUGUUCUGCUAGAUUGGCCAUCUAGUAACCCACGGGGAUCCUCCUGUCUUCUCCUGAGGCACUGGGGUUAGAACUAUCCAUUCCUAGCUUUGUAUUGACACAUGGGAACCAAGAAUUCAAACUCGGAUUCUUACACUUGUGUACCAAUCACUCUAAAGACUAGCCAUCUCCUCAGCCCACUUAAUGCUCUUAAUUCACCUUUAUUUAAUAGCUAAUGUUGAAAAUCUUUUCAUAAACUUAUUUUUCAUUUAUUUAUUUUUCUCAGUAAGGUGAUUGUCUUUCAUGAUUUUGGCUUAUUUUAUAAUAAAAUUGUUUGCUCUUUUAAUGUUGAAAUGUGAAAUGUAUAGAUUCCAGAUACUGUUCCUUUGCUGAAUGUAUAGUUUGUGGAUAUUUUUACCUGCCUUUAUUUAUUUUGUGUUUCCUUCUAAAUAAAUUUCAGUUUUUACUUACAAGUUUUAAAAUUAAAACAUUAAGUUACAUUAGGACAUUUCAAGUAAAAUUUCUAUGUAUUUAUGUUAUUCUCCAUCUUUUCAUGCCUGUGUUUAUCUCCCUUAUAAUCUUCCACAGCCUCUUUUUCUUUUUUUUAACUUUACAUGUCUUGUUGCCCACCCCCUCACCUUUCCUCAACAACUGUAUCCCUCCUCUAGUAGCCUCCUUACUGGCUUCAUAAGCUACACCGGCACUGACCUCUCACUAGUACAUGGAGACAUUUUAAGCUAUGAACCACAUAUGAGAGACAAUUAUAAUAUACUUUCUAGAUCUAUCCAUUUCUGAAAUUUUCAUGAUUUCAUUGGUUUUUACAGUGAGUAAAGUGAUGUUGUGUGUCUAUGUACCACAUUUUCACUAACCAUUCAUCUGUUAUGGAGAUCUAGGCUGUUACCAUUUCCUAACUAUUUUAAGUUAUGCAGCAAUAAACAUGAAUGUACAAAUGUCUUUGUGGCAGACUAUAGAGUCCUUUCGAUCUAUCCAAACAUGGAAUGGAUGGAUAACUGGUUCUAUAUUUUUUCCAGAAUUAUUCAUAUUAUGAAUAUGUCAUUCAUCCAUAAUGGCUAUAUUUGUUUACACUUUUGCCAACAGUGAAUAAGAGCUCCUCCUUCCCCAUAUUCCCACCAGCACUGGAUGUUGUGUCUUUUCUUUAUGGUAGCUAUUCUGACACAGGCGAGCUAGAAUCUCAUUGCUUUUAACUGGAUUUCCCUGGUGGCUAAUGAUAUUGAACAUGUCUUUUGCUUAUUGGCUUGCUUUGUUUUGUUUUAGUGGAGGUUUAAUAUAUUUUAGUUAUAUUGUAGGUAUUAAUCCCUUGUUUGAAGUAUCUCCCAUUCUAUAGGCAGUCUGCUUACUUUGUUGAUUGUUUGCUGGGCAGAAAGUGUUUAAUUUCAUGAAGUCCUAUUGUUAAUUCUUGGGCCACUUCCUGUACUACUGGAGUUCUGUUCUUAAAACUCUUGCCUAUCCCUAAACCUAUACUUUGAAGUGAAUUCUCUAUGUCUACAGCAGUUUCUGAAUUUCAGGCUUUAUGUUCAAUUAAUUUUGAAUUUAUUUUUGCAUAAAGUUAGAGAUAUGCAGUUAAUUCCAUUCUUCUACAGAUGGAUAUCCACUCUUCCUCCUUAUAGUGCUUUUUUUUAUUAUUCAAAUAAUUCAGAAGUCAAAGAUUAAAAUAAUUUACUUUGCUUCCUUAUCCAGGGUCUCCAAGACCAUCCUAGGUUUGGUGAUUUGUUGAAAGGACUGAAAGGGCCCAUAACUAAUAUUUAUUAUCAGGAAAGGAUAUCAAGAAAGAUUAUCAAGUUUGACAGGUAUAUAGACAAAGUCAUGAGGAAAUCCAACUCAUGUUUCCAAGAGCCCUCUUCAAGUCUAGUCACAAAAGAUAUGCUUAAUUCCUUAAGCAACAAAUCAUGACAUGUCAAGUUAGCUGUUUAUUGGGUGGGAUCAUUAGAGAUGUAACACCUCAAAGUUUUAUUGAAUACUACUAUUAAAGGUAUUCUUAACAUGGCAAAUACCCAAUUUCUAGGCUACCAAAAGAAAAUCAUUUUUUACAGCAUGUUCUAAUUUAAAUGGCCCCAUGUAACAGACUACAUGUUAAAAGCUGGGCUGCCAUCUUGUGGUGCUAUGAGGAGGCAGCAAAACUUUCAGGAGAUCUCAUUGAGACCACACCUCUGAAGCACUUACUGCAGUACUGCUCCCCUUCUCUCUCAUCUAUCUGUCUGUCUGUCUAUCUAUCUAUCUAUCUAUCUAUCUAUCUAUCUAUCUAUCUAUCUAUCAUCUGUCCAUCUGUCCAUCCAUCCAUCCAUCCAUCCAUCCAUCCAUCCAUCCAUCCAUCCAUCUGCUUUCUGGCACCCAUGAUAGGUGAGCAGAUUUAUUCUAAACUAUGCUGUCUGCAAUGAUGUUCUGCCUCAUCACAGGUUCUAAGACAGCAGAUUGAACCAGCAGUGAACUGAAAGUCCUAAAGCCAUGAGUCCUAAGGAAUUAUUUCUUCGUUUUAAGAUGGCUAUCUCAGAAAGGUGGAUUGCAAGAAGAAUGAGAUGAUUUAUACAGGAAACCUUUCUUCAGAUGGUCAUCAUCUAUCCACUGAAGGCUUGAAUCUACCAAAGGUAUAAAGUCAAGGACGGAGCAGUCUUUCCCUCUCUAUUUGCCUCAUUGACCUGGAACAUCUCAUCUAAUUUUCUCCUGACUUUGAGUUGGCAAUUACAUUUAUUUACCCUGUUCUCAUGCCUUUGAAAGUAGACUAAAUUACUCUAACAACUGUU